CCUUCCCUCUGGGAUAGUAAAGAAAUCCUAACACUCAGUGUAGAGUCUGGCUCUGAUCAGUAAAGAUGCAACAGCUCCUGUGUCCCUCUUCUCUUACCUCACUGAGGAGUUUGUAUUUCCACACUCUGUUCUCAUACCGUAAAUGAGGAUAGGCCCCAAACAACAACACUGUUGAUCCAGAACACGUUGAAGUCUCUGUCAGAUCCAGCUGCCGAGAUAGCACCACAACUCAAGCAGAAUUUUAGGGACAAAUAGCAUAGCUUUUGAUUGAAGAGAUUCCUUGGCACUUUUGUUUAACAAGAAAAAUUACUGAAGUUAAUGAAAAAGAAAAGGGGUUGAACACCUUUCUGACCCAUGAUGUACUGAGACAAAAAAAGCAGUGAUUUCUCCUAUGCUGAAGUCUCAUAUUCAUUAUUAAUGUGUCAGUAACUGUAUCCAACAAGCUUCAUACUAGCAAAUGGCAAAGCAAUGAACACUUAUUCCCUGAGGACUACAGACGUUGGUGCAUUAUGAACAUUACACGAGAAGGAAGAUUGACAAUGGUAUAAUUGUGGGGGAAGAGGAAGAAGGCUUUAUGCACCAUUGCAUUAUCUAACAACCAGUUGGCAAUUACUGUGAACUACAGGGUAACAUCAACACAGCACACAGAGAAAGUGUUAAUUUA